GUCCUCUUUGUCCUCUUCCUCCUUUGUGUCCUCUUCCUCCUUUUUGUCCUCUUCCUCCUUUUUGUCCUCUUCCUCCUUUUUGUCCUGUUUGUCCUUUUCCUUCUUUUUGUCCUUUUUGUUCUUUUCUUCCUUUUUGUCCUUUUCCUCCUUUGUUUCCUUUAAGUCCUUUUCAUUCUUUUCGUCCUUUCUGUCCUUUGAGGAGUCCUGCUGCUGU
rnacentral:lncRNA from 1 species